CGUUCCCGGGUCUUGUACACACCGCCCGUCACACCAUGGGAGUGGGUUUUACCAGAAGUAGUUAGCCUAACCGCAAGGGGGGCGAUUACCACGGUAGGAUUCAUGACUGGGUG
rnacentral:rRNA from 1 species